rnacentral:rRNA from 1 species
CCUACGGGUGGCAGCAGUGGGGAAUAUUGCACAAUGGGCGCAAGCCUGAUGCAGCCAUGCCGCGUGUGUGAAGAAGGCCUUCGGGUUGUAAAGCACUUUCAGCGGGGAGGAAGGCGUUAAGGUUAAUAACCUUGUCGAUUGGCGUUACCCGCAGAAGAAGCACCGGCUAACUCCGUGCCAGCAGCCGCGGUAAUACGGAGGGUGCAAGCGUUAAUCGGAAUUACUGGGCGUAAAGCGCACGCAGGCGGUCUGUCAAGUCGGAUGUGAAAUCCCCGGGCUCAACCUGGGAACUGCAUUCGAAACUGGCAGGCUAGAGUCUUGUAGAGGGGGGUAGAAUUCCAGGUGUAGCGGUGAAAUGCGUAGAGAUCUGGAGGAAUACCGGUGGCGAAGGCGGCCCCCUGGACAAAGACUGACGCUCAGGUGCGAAAGCGUGGGGAGCAAACAGGAUUAGAUACCCGAGUAGUC